GAUUUGGAAGAGGAUGUGCUUUCUUUCUCUCUCUGCCUCCUCUUGAGGCAGGUCCCUAGUGACCACUUUCCUCAGCAUCCCAGUGACGCAGGAAUGAAAGGAGAAAACAUCACAUUAGUAGGAGCAGCAUCAGGACCCUAAUCCGGCCACAAAGAUCAGAGAAGAGUACCCAGUGUCUGGACACGAAGCGUCUCUCACAGAGCAUUAUCUGGGAAGCUGCAUCAGGUGAAUCAGGACCAAGGACAGCAUCCUUUAUCAGAGCAAGGCCUGGAAUUAUGACCAGGGAGGAUCCUCCAGAUUGUGCCCCGGAGGAGAACCAGCACCCCCUUGAAUUCCAAAGUCCCAUCCUAGAGAAACGGAAAAGGCCAGUGGUUCACCACUCAGCCCCGGCUCCGCUCCCUAAGGAUUAUGCAUUCACAUUCUUUGACCCCAAUGACCCUGCGUGCCAGGAAAUCUUAUUUGAUCCAGAAACUAGUGUUCCUGAAUUGUUUGCAAUUAUCCGACAAUGGGUCCCGCAAGUCCAGCACAAGAUCGAUGUUAUCGGCAGUGAGAUCUUGAACAGGGGCGGUCACGUGAAUGACAGGGAUGGACUUACAGACAUGACCUUAUUACACUACGCAUGCAAAGCUGGAGCACAUGGUGUGGGGGACCCUGCGGCUGCUGUCCGUCUGACCAGUCAGCUUCUCCUGCUGGGGGCAGAUGUCACUCUGCGCAGCCGCUGGACCAAUAUGAACGCCCUGCACUAUGCCGCCUAUUUUGAUGUCCCAGAACUUUUACGCAUCUUACUCAAAGCAUCAAAACCUAAAGUGCUAAAUUCCACCUGCAGUGAUUUCAACCAUGGUACUGCCCUGCAUAUUGCUGCAUCUAAUCUCUGUCUGGGAGCUGUCAAAUGUCUGCUGGAACAUGGAGCCAACCCGUCUGUCAGGAACAGUAAGGGCCAGGUCCCAUCGGAUGUGGUUCCUGACCCCAUGGAUAUGGGGCUAGACAAGGCCGAGUCUGCCAUGAUUGCUAAGGAACUGAGGCAGCUGCUGCAGGAUGCUGUGCCCUUGACUUGCAACCUGCCCAAGGUCACACUGCCAAACUACGAUAACAUCCCUGGUAACUUGAUGCUGGCAUCGUUGGGGUUGCGGCUAGGUGACCGGGUGCUGCUGGACGCAGAAAAGGCUGGCACACUACGCUUCUGUGGCACCACCGAAUUUGCCAGUGGGCAGUGGGUGGGGGUGGAGCUGGAUGAGCCAGAAGGGAAGAAUGACGGCAGCGUGGGAGGUAUCCGCUACUAUGUCUGCCCCCCCAAACAUGGAAUAUUUGCUUCUGUGUCCAAGAUCAGUAAAGCUCCAGGUCAAACCCCAUCCUCUGUUACUUCCACACCAAAGACCCCACGUAUGGACUUCUCCAGAGUGACUGGCAAAGGGAGAAAGGAGAAAAAAGCAGCAACACAGAAAAAGUCUAUCAGCGUGGGAAGCCUGGACAGAGAGGGGCUGAAUAUCGACCUGGGGGACCAAGUGCUCGUAGCUGGACAGAAACAGGGGGUAAUACGGUUCUAUGGCAAGACAGACUUUGCUCCAGGAUACUGGUUUGGAAUUGAACUUGAAAAACCCACAGGAAAACAUGACGGUUCUGUGUUUGGUGUCCGAUAUUUCACCUGCUCCCCAAAAUAUGGAGUAUUUGCUCCGCCCUCCAGGGUUCAGAGGCUCGGUGGUCCAAAAGACCCACAAGUGGACAGUGGUGUGAAAAAGGUGCAUCAAGUUACUAGUAGUGACACAACCAAAGCGUAACUUCAACACCGUACGGACACCGAAAGAGAUGGCGUCGGAAAAUUCUAUCUCCAGGUUGCUGUUCUGCUGUUGGUUUCCCUGGCUGCUUCGGGCUGAGAUGCGAUCUUAACCCUCUCUUCCACCAGCCCUGCAACUUCUAAGCCCUGCCAUUUGGAGCCACAGACUGCCUCCUCCUUCUGUCUGUCUCCCGACUCCCCAGUGCCUUGUCCAAUGUUCCUCUGAUACAGAGGCCCCUCUGUGUGUCACUGUUCCAUUCAGUGCAGAAGAAAUUCCUGGAGGAGGGGGUGAUUACAUUCCUGCUUCAUUCUGGUCUUACUCGCUUCUCUGCCAGAACCUUCUGCUGGACAGCCGGGGUUGGCACCACCUCUGUCCCUUCUCUAACUGCCAUUUACUCUGUUACCUUACAAGGAACUACACCCACAAAAUCCUGCUCCUGACACUCCGCAACAUCACUCAUAUCCCUACUGAUAAGACACUUCCACUAAGCAUUUGAUGGAACCAUCUACUCAUCCUCAUUAGUCCACUGAACCCCAACUAGAUCAUAUAGGCUUGGCCAAACCGCCGGUUCUAUGAUAUAUUGCCUGGCACCGCACAUGUGCCAUAAACUUGCGUCAUCUUGUACAAGAACGUGGAUGUGAUGAGAAAAAUGUCCACAGUCCCCUAAGGGUAUAGUUUGUUUUUCCAGUUAGAACAAAAACUAAGAACAGAUAAGAGACCAGAGUUGAUAGGAAGACAGAGUUGAUAGGAAGACAACAGAUAAAUUGUGUCACUGGCUGUAUCCUCUGCACACAGCUUUGGCAGCCACUUUGUGAGUUAUACCAGUGGUCCUUGCAUGCCAUCCAGUUACUAAGAGCUAGCAUCAUCACUGAGGCAAGGAAUGGGCCACUGUAACUGUAGAAGCUCCGUAUAAUUACUAGGAAAUGUAACACUCCAUUCCCUAUACUUAGUCACCUACCAGUACCGAGCCUGGUCUCUUGUAGGAUUACUGAAGUUGUAAAACACGUCAGAUGUAUAGAUGAACUUGGAACUGCAGCUGAUUCUGAGUGGGAUGCGGGUCCAAAUGUGGGCACAUUCCAUGGCGGACGGCAAGCGUGGUAGAAAGCAAUAGUAGACUAUACAACUGCAACCAUGAAUACGCACACAGAUGGAGACUGAGAGAGCGGAUGGAUUAAUCUGUCCGUGGACAUUCUGUGAAAUGGGCGUUUCUGGGCAGUGACCGUUUGAUGGCGCCUCGUGGGAGUGUCAUGGCUCCCUUGCUCGUUUGAAGCAGAUGGAGCGCCUGUUUCUGCUGGAUCUUUUUGCACCCAGCAUGGGGUGUGUGUACAGUAAACAGCAAUACUACUGAUGACAUGAAAACAGUGGGCGGGCUGGGAAGCUGCAUGAAGGCUGAUGGAUCAUCAGCAUACAUGAGGGGAUACUAGCAUUAGCAUAAGAUAGCAAGCAGGCAGAAUAGCAGUUCCUGGUGCACCCAACUCAGAAUCAGGCCCUUUGCCUCUACUAACAUGUUGGAUUUGCACAAUCGGUAUGUACUUCAGGUCUUUCCGCUGUAGACUCCCACAUCUCUCCAGGACUCCAAGCAUUGGCCUUUUAUACCAUGUGAAUUUACAGAGACAUAAGUCUGUCAUCAACUCUGUAAUCUGUGAUGUCUCAAUUGGCCUCUAUCAUCCUGUCUCUAGUUUGUGAGGUUUCACUCAGUCUCUGUAAUGCCGCCGAUGGUCUGGGGCGUCUCACUCUAUCACUGUUUUCUUGUUGUUGGUGUUCAACGUGUCAGUGUAUUUCUGUUAUCCUGUCUUUGCUCUGCAGUGUCUCAGUCAGUCACUAUUAUACCAUCUCUAGUAACCUGUGAUGUCAUCAUAUUUCUGUUAUACCAUGUCUUCUGUGUUAUAUCUCAGCAUGUUUCUAGACACUCGUGUCUCAAUCUCUUACCAUUAUGCUGUUUUUAGUCUGCUACUGUUCUUCUUAUCUAUCUGCAGUUGAGUGAUUUAUGCCUCUCUUCAUAGACUUCUGUCCUGAACCUGUGACCUCUCUCUCAUUGUGUACACAGUGGGAUACAUAUCUAUCUCUCCUGUCCAUUGUCUGUCUCAAUUUAGAACAUCCUUUCUCUAAUGUCUCCCAAUUAUUGGUGUUGUCAUCCUAUACCUAGUCAGUGAAUAUUUUGAUUUCUUCCUGUCAUCUUCUGCCUGGUCUAGUCUGUGAUGUUCCCAUCAUGUGUUUUCUCUGUCAAACUCCUAACAUUAUGUAUUUUCUAUCAAAUACUUAUCAUCCUGUGUCUUCUCUGUGAUGUUCCUAUCAUCCUGUCUUCUCUGUGAUGUUCCUAUCACCCUGUGUCUUCUCUGUGAUGUUCCUAUCGCCCUGUGUCUUCUCUGUCAUGUUCCUAUCACCCUGUGUCUUCUGUCAUGCUUCUAUCGCCCUGUGUCUUCUCUGUCAUGUUCCUAUCAUCCUGUGUCUUCUCUGUCGUGUUCCUAUCGCCCUGUGUCUUCUCUGUGAUGUUCCUAUCACCCUGUCUUCUCUGUGAUGUUCCUAUCACCCUGUGUCUUCUCUGUGAUGUUCCUAUCGCCCUGUGUCUUCUCUGUCAUGUUCCUAUCACCCUGUGUCUUCUGUCAUGCUUCUAUCGCCCUGUGUCUUCUCUGUCAUGUUCCUAUCAUCCUGUGUCUUCUCUGUCGUGUUCCUAUCGUCCUGUGUCUUCUCUGUCGUGUUCCUAUCGCCCUGUGUCUUCUCUGUGAUGUUCCUAUCGUCCUGUGUCUUCUCUGUGAUGUUCCUAUCAUCCUGUGUCUUCUCUGUGAUGUUCCUAUCAUCCUGUGUCUUCUCUGUGAUGUUCCUAUCAUCCUGUGUCUUCUCUGUGAUGUUCCUAUCAUCCUGUGUCUUCUCUGUGAUGUUCCUAUCAUCCUGUGUCUUCUCUGUGAUGUUCCUAUCAUCCUGUGUCUUCUCUGUGAUGUUCCUAUCAUCCUGUGUCUUGAUGUUCCUAUCAUCCUGUGUCUUCUCUGUGAUGUUCCUAUCAUCCUGUGUCUUCUCUGUGAUGUUCCUAUCAUCCUGUCUCUUCUCUGUGGUGUUCCUAUCAUCCUGUGUCUUCUCUGUCAUGUUCUUAUCACCCUGUGUCUUCUCUGUGAUGUUCCUAUCGCCCUGUGUCUUCUGUCAUGUUCCUAUUGCCCUGUGUUGUCUCGGUCGUGUUCCUAUCAUCCUGUGUCUUCUGUCAUGUUCCUAACACCCUGUGUCUUCUGUCAUGCUCCUAUCAUCCUGUGUCUUCUCUGUCGUGUUGCUAUCAUCCUGUGUCUUCUGUCAUAUUCUUAUAAUUCCCAGUCUACUCUGUCAUAUUCAUACCAUCCUGUGCCUAUUAUGUGAUGUUUCCAUCAUCCUGAGUCUACUCUGAUAUUCCCAUAUAUCUGUGUCUACUCUGAGAUGCUCCUAUAAUCCUGUAUCUUGUGGGAUGUUCCCAUCAUCCUGUAUCUUCUCUGUGAUUUUACCACCAUACCUUGUCUUCUCUGCCGUAGUGUGUGAAUGCUCUGUAUCUUCCUAUUAUCCUGGCCUUAGUCUGUGAUAGUUGGUAUCUUCCUAUCAUCCUGGCCUUAGUGUGUGAUAGCUCUGUAUCUUAUCAUCCUGCCCCUAGUGUAUGAUAGCUGGGUAUCUUCUUAUCAUCCUGCCCCUAGUGUAUGAUAGCUGGGUAUCUUCCUCUUCCCAUAAUCCUGGCUUUAGUGUGUAAUAGCUUGGUAUAUUCCUAUCAUUCUGUAUGUAGUCUAUGAUAGCUCUGUAUCUUUCCGUCAGACUGACCAUAUUGUGUGAUAGCUCAGUAUCUUCCUAUAUUCUUGUAUCUAGUCUGUAAAUGCUCGGUAUCUUCCUAUCAUCUUGCCUCUAGUCUGUGUAUGUUCUGUAUCUGCCUAUCAUCCUGGCCCUAGUGUGCGAUAGUUUGGUACAGUAUUUUCCCAUCAUCCUGCCUCUAGUCUGUGAUAGCUCGGUAUGUUCCUAACAUCCUGGCCCUAGUGUGCGAUAGUUUGGUACAGUAUUUUCCCAUCAUCCUGCCUCUAGUCUGUGAUAGCUCGGUAUGUUCCUAACAUCCUGGCCCUAGUGUGCGAUAGUUUGGUACAGUAUUUUCCCAUCAUCCUGCCUCUAGUCUGUGAUAGCUUGGUACAGUAUAUUCCUAUCAUCCUGCCUCUAGUCUGUGAAUGCUCGGUAUCUUCCUAUCAUCCUGGCCCUAGUGUGCGAUAGCUCUGUAUCUUCCUAUCGUCCUGCCUUUAGUCUGUGAUAGAUUGGUACAGUAUAUUCUUAUCAUCCUGCCUCUAGUCUGUGAUAGCUCGGUAUCUUCCUAUCAUCCCGACCCUAGUGUGUGAUAGCUCUGUAUCUUCCGAUCAUCCUGGCCCUAGUGUGUGAUAGCUCGGUACAAGCUUGGACUGGCCCACAGGGGUACGGGGAAACCACCGGUGGGCCCCUCUGCAUGGGCCCCCCACCUCUUGCUCUAAGGAUCAGGUUCCAGACUGUGCACUUGAAAUAUACAUUAUACAUAUGAAAUCUUAUACUGGGCUGUGGUGUAUAUCAUCCUGGCCCUAGUGUGUGAUAGCUUGAUAUCUUCCUAUAAUCCUGGACCUAGUCUGAGAUAGCUCGGUAUCUUCCUAUCAUCCUGGCCUUAGUGUGUUAUAGCUCAUUAUCUUCCAGGCUGUAGUCUGUGAUAGCUCUGUAUCUUCCUAUCAUCCUGGCCCUAGUGUGUGAUAGCUCUGUAUCUUCUUAUAAUCCUGGACCUAGUCUGAGAUAGCUCGGUAUCUUCAUAUCAUCCUGGCCUUAGUGUGUUAUAGCUCAUAAUCUUCCUAUCAUCCAGGCUGUAGUCUGUGAUAGCUCUGUAUCUUCCUGUCAGCCUGACCCUAUUGUGUCAUAGUUCGGAAUCUUCAUAUCAUGCUGUAUCUAAUCUGUGAUAGCUCUGCAUCUUCCUAUCAUUCUGUAUCUAGUCUGUAAUAGCUCAGUAUCUUUCUAUCAUCCUGUAUCUAGUCUGUGAUAGCUCGGUAUCGUCCUAUUAUACUGGCCCUAGUCUGUGACAGCUCAGUAUCUUACUAGCAUCCUGACUCUAGUCUUCCUAUCAGCUUUUUUUCUAGUAUCUUUUUUUGUGUGUCCUAGUUGCAAUAACUCUGUUCCCUAUUAGGCGAGUUGGUUCCAGUGCCGGGUGUGUUGUUCUGAAGACACUGCCCACAGACCUGACCUAAGACACCUUGUCACCCCAUGCAUAACUAACUAGUCACCGCAUGCAUCCCCUCCUCUGUACAUAGACUGGGGUAUUCCGUGUGCUGUGAGUGAUGAGUAUCUCUGUACAUUGUGCUAAGUGUUAGCUAGCACACCCCACCUGGGGUUUAAUGGGCUAUUCAGAAUGCAGGGAGGCUCUUACACCGUCUAUAGAGCAUAUAUACAGAUGGCAACUUAUGUAGAACAUGCAAUAUAUGGUUACUUUUGAAAUGUAAGGACCAACGUAGAGUACAUACACAGUGGUAGUGAUCUGUAUAGUUAUAUAUAUAUAUAUAUAUUCAUGCAGUAGAUUGACUACCUGUGUACAGAUAUGGAAGCAGUCACAUAUAUGUGGAGGUAUAUAGGACACCUUUGUGAGGAAGUGUAUUAAUAUAUGACCCCUGUGGGCAGACGUCACUAAUUCUCUCAUAUAGCAGAUCCCGCAUAUUCUCCUUGAAACCUAUUCUGGGGCCUGUUCCUGUAACCCUGCGUAAAAUUUUGUGAUCUGCCUGUAACUUGUGGUCUUACUAACCUUGUAUAUGGGACAUGUGGAUGUAUGUCAGAUAAUAAACUGAUUUAAAUAUU